AUAUGGAUAGUAUUGUUUUUGUCAUUAGAUAUUUUAUAUCUAAUGACAAAAAGUAUACAAAGAAAUUAUUACGGAUUCAUAGCUAUAUAUCAAAGAGAGUUUUAUUUAAUUAUUGUGCAUGUGAGUAAUUUUUGGCUUUUUUUUGUAAUGUUAAGUUUGUUUAAUAAAUAGUUAGUUUUAAUAUUUUUUAAUUAUAAUUUAAGUUAAAAAUUCUUUGCUUCAUGAACUCUAGGAAGAAAUUAAUUUAUAAAAAACGAAGUGAAUUGAAAUAUCUUAUUAACUUCAGGAAAAGAAAUCAAACGAGAUUCUGCAAGUAGUGAGAAUGAAAGAAGAAAAGCCUAUUUUUAAUAGCAAGUAAAAUGGAGUAUAUUACUGUUUGAAUAUAAAGGGGAACCUUCCUCUAAGGCUAAAUAUGAUAUAUAAGCGAUAGUUAAUAGUACCGUGAGGGACUGGAUUGAAGUAGUAAUUUUAUAAGCAGCUUGAGCAAAGUUUAAAUAAACAAUGAAAGCGUACCUUUUGUAUAAUGGGUCAGCAAGUUAAUAUUAGAUGCGAGCAGUAAUUGCAAAGAUAAAACAAUUAUGAUUUAAUGAUUUAGUAUCUAAAAUUAGACCCGAAGCCUAGUGAUCUUACCACAAUCAGGGUUAUAAAAGCUCGAACGGGUUAUCGUUGUAAAGAUAUCCGAAGAAUUGUGGUAAGCUAGUGAAAGACAAUACUGACUAGGAUAGCUGGUUUUCCGCGAAACCUAUCUAAGUAGGUAAUUUUAAUAAGAUCAUGGCAGGUACAUAAUUAUGAUCUCACAUCAGCUAGUAUAUAUAAAAUAUGUUAGCUAUGGACAUUGGGGGGUCGUGAAGAUUCUAUCAGUGAGUAUUUGAACUCGGAAAGGCUAUGAUCAAUAUUGAAUCAUCAGACAUAGUGCGCUAAGGUUAUAUGUCUAAAGGGAAACAGCCCAGAACAAGAGUUAAUAAGGUUCCUAAAUUAUUGUCAAGUGAAAUGAAGAUAGUAUUUUCUAAUUCGUUCAGGUAAUAGGCUUAGGAGCUGCCAUUUUUUAAAGACCUCGUUGUAGAGCACUGGGCUAUUAUUAGAGAGAUGCAUCUAAAAUUUAACGGAUCUAAACAAUAUACCGAUACCUUGUCCAUAAAUAUAGAUAUAUAAUAAUUAUAUAUUGGUAUUAAUGGGGUAGCGGAACAUAGGGUAAUCCUCAGAUUUUUUCUUUUUAAGAUUUAAAAUUAGGUAUCCCAAGUGAUAAUGCUGACAUGAGUAACGAUAAAGGGAAUAUUUCCCUCGCCUAAAGCUUAUGGUAUUUACUUAAAGUAACGGCCUCUAAGUUUAUGCAAUAUAGAGGAUUAAACGAUGAGUAAAUCUAACAGUUUAAAAACAAAAAACAAAUAACAUUUCUGUAUAAUGAAAAUAAUACAAAUAGUGAGUAAUGUUCUGGAAAACUUUAAACUAGAUAUAGAAUAAAUUUUUGUUAGUAGUAGAGAGAAAGCAAUAACAAUUAAUUCAUAUUAAAUAUUGAUCUGCUAAUUAGCAGAUCCAAGCUACCGUACCUAAAUACUAACACAAGUAAGCAAGUAGAGAAUACGAAGGCGUUCGAGUUAACAAUCAUUAAGGAACUCGGCAAAUUAACUCUCGUAACUUAGGGAUAAGGUGGGCCAUUCCCCCUGUUUAAUAUCAGGAAGGAUUAAGGAGGCACAGAAUGGUGUUGUACGACUGUUUAAUUAAAACAAAGCACUUUGCAAAGAAAUAAAUUCGAAGUAUUGAGUGUGAUCUCUGCCCGAUGGCGGCUGGGUACAAUAUUUGCUUAGUGGACUAAAACAAGUUAGGCUUUGAAACAAACCCCGUUUAAUGGCGGCCUUACCUAUGAGGGUCCAAAGGUAGCGAAAUACCUUGGCUGUUAAAUGCAGUCUUGCAUGAAUGAUGUAACGAUACAACAGCUGUCUUUAUGAUUGGCUCGGUGAAAUUGGAAUAACUGCGAAGAUACAGUUUACCUCUAGUUAGACGAGAAGACCCUAUGCAGCUUUACUGUUGCUAGUUAUUGGAUAUGAUAUAACAUAGUUGUAGUUUAUAAGGUAGUUGAUUUACUGUUUGACUUACACGUCCUUCAGUCGCGUAAGCGGGGCAUAUGAUCACAAGAUGCGGAAAGGAAGGGUCUUGGAUUAUUGAAUAAAGCUACGCUAGGGAUAACAGGCUAAUUGCGCCAGAGAGUGCAUAUUGAAUGCGCAGUUUGGCACCUCGAUGUCGGCUUAGCUCAUCCCCAUGAUUGAACAAACUAUGCAGGGCUUGACUGUUCGUCAAUUAAAGAGUUACAUGAGUUGGGUUAAAUACGUCGUGAGACAGUAUGGUUUCUAUCUUCUAGAGGAAAUUAUAAAUAAAAUAAGGAUAGUCCCUUUAUCGUAAGUAUCUGGGAAUUUUAACCUCUGGUUUACCUGUUGUUUACUUUCCUAUAUUAAUCAUAUAUACAAGUUUAUAAAUUAUUAUGGGCUUAUAUUUGGGGAUUUACUUUUCACUAGUAGUAAUUCUUAGGUAGGCACGGCAGGAAAGCCACGUUACUAUAAGAUAAGUGCUGAAUCGAUCUAGGUAUGAAACUUACCUUAAGAUAUUUACUAAUAAAUGUAGUUUAACACUACGAUUUUAAAUCAUUAUAUAUUUAUAUACACAUAUAUGUGUACUUUAUACAUACAAUAUAUAUGUAUAUAUUAUAUACAUAUAAUAAUAAAUAGGCUUUAGCUGAAAGAAUUGUGACAUUUUUAGGCAUUAAGUACUAA
rnacentral:rRNA from 1 species